rnacentral:piRNA from 1 species
UCCAGGGGAUUGUCCCUUAAAGUUAUGGUU